CCGCAUGCUCUGUGGGGAGCGCACAAAAUGCCGAAUCCCGGCGCCCUCGGCGACCGCCUAGGGUCACCUAAUGGAAGCGCCAGCCCUGCCUACAUUGGCACCUUCAGCAAACUGCCCUGACCAGGCUCAUCCCUGCCAGCUCAGGGCCCUGUGGGUUGGGUUGUUCCUUUAAGAGGAAUUUCCUCUCUGCCCUGGUCAGCCAGGGUUGCAGACCAUUCGUUUCUGAGGCUUUUUGUACUUUUGUUUUUGCGGAAAGUGAAAGGGACAGGAGGGGAGAGUACUCGGCCCAGUCAAUUCAGCUCCAAAUGUAACAACCACCAUGACGAGUCUGGACCCAACCCCCCAGCUUUGUGAUGCCCUGUGUGGAGCAGGGGCAGCAGCCUCGACCCAGCUACGAUGGCGGGGAAGGUUCCCUUGUUCUCCCCCGGCUCCACAGUGAGCUCUGCUCUGCCUGGCUACGUGGCUCUCUGCCUCACCCUACAGCUUCACAGGCUGGUGUCAGGCCCUUACACCAUCCCUACACUGGUUGGAGAGGCCCCCACACUGAGCAGCAUGAAAAGUCCUUGGUGUAUCAGAGAACCUGACCCCCCAGUAUCCAUUAUACCCAAGGACCUCUAUUCAGAGAUAAUAGGGACAGUGUAUAAUGUUCACAUGUGAACUCUGGGUGACCAGUAUUGGAACCACAUGCAGUAUUUUGGGAACUAUCAAAUUAACAUGAAUGUGUAUUUUUGUACUCCUUGAUAAAUAGUAUCUGUGUGUAACUUUGUGGGCUCAGGACUGUAAUCUACUCCAUCGGGGAGGAUGUGAUGCUCUGUAACUCAGGGAAACACCCAGCACCCUGUGUUCAUCCUUGUAAAAAUGAUUGUGUGAUGUCCAGUCCAAAGUUUGUCAUGUCGGGUGUCUUCAGAAAGCUCAAGAUGCGCUGAGUGUCGUUGUUACAGUAAUGUUAUAGUAAUUGUUAUUACAAGUAAAGUUGUAGUAAUGUUAUAGGUUAUAAUUUCAUGUAUGUAGUUAUGAGGCUGAAAAUGUGUCCUCAUGGCUUAAAAUGAGCCCUGGCAAAAACUUUCCAAGAGCAGAGGGGCAGUUCACACCUCAUCAGGGCAGAUAUGAGACAAACCCAGCCCAGCCUCCCAGGAACAAAGGACACUGGCUUAGGCAGCAACAAAGGGUCUAUUGGACACUCUAGUGAGUCACUCCCCUUCCUUUAGUCAGUUUGAAACUGCGAAGAGGUGAUGCUCAUCUGACUCUGAAGGGGGGAGGGGGAACAAAGCCAGGAGUGAAGAAAGGACAUGAUAAAAGGGAGAGACAUUUGCCAUGCUCUCUCUCUUCCGCCUACAUCUACAGACACCACCAUCAAGGGACUGACGCGCUGAUCAGAGGGGAGAGCCUGUCUGAAGAGCGAGCAGCCAGCCUGUGGUGAGAAGCAUCCACAUUUGUAAGAGCACUGAAAAUGUUAAGAUCAGCUUAGAAUGUGUUUUGCUUUUAUUUCAUUUGACCAAAUCUGACUUAUUUGCCUUAUAAUCACUUCAAAUUUAUUUCCGUAGUUAAUAAAUGUUUGUUCUACCUGAAGCA
ensembl:lncRNA